GCAGAGGAUCUUUCUCAUUGCUCCUAGAGAAGAAAAUGGCUUUGAAAUUGCUGAAGUAAGCGCUGAGUCCCUCCUGGUUCUCUGCUUGUCCUGGUCUUCUCUCAAUAGUAACUGCCACAGAUUAGUUGCCUGGUUAAGCAGAAGGCCUGAUUAAGAAGAAGGCUUUAUUCCUUCAAGGAGUACUGUUGCUCUGUGGAGGUGUUUUCUUUCUCACCACUGACCGUAAAGGAAGCCAGCAACUUACUUGUAAAGGACGAAAGCCACAAUGAGGACAAACACUGCCAGCAAACCAAGGAAGAUAAAGACACCUUCUGUUGUUCCUGAGGAUGAUCCUAGAUUUCAAAAAGUAGUUUUGAUUGUAAGAUUACCCUGAUUUUUACAAUGAGAUGGAUUUUUCCAAAGAAAAUGUAAUUUUUACCAGGUUGCUUUACAAACAGAAGUACACUUAGUAUGUCAAACAUGCUAAGCAUUGGAGGCCAGUGCCUUUGGCAGGAGGUGGUGCUUUUGCAGCCUAAUCAGUUUAAUUCUCAGUGCCACCAGGUUGUGAGUUGGGCUUUGGCAGUUUUACAUAUGGGCUGUGCUCCUGAAAACACGCAGUUGCCCUUUUAGUAUGGAAGGGAACAGAGGGUUUUGCUGGCACCCCAGAAGAUGGAGCUAAUUUGCUCCUUGCCCAAUUGCUAUGCUAGGGAACCACUUAUACUGGGAGUAUAAAAUACAUAAUCUCUUUAUAAGGUGUAAUGUAAGAAUUAUUGUCAGUUUACUGUCUUAGGGAUGAUAGCCAGGAGAAGGAAAGAAGGGAUGAAAAAAUGAAAUUUCCAAAGUGUUAUUGUUUCAACCUCACAUCCUAACAUGGUUAAGCGCAGCUGAGUGCCUGAUGGACGCAAGGUUUGUUUGCCUCAUUCCUUUAAAGAGCUGAGGGCUCUGCUUCUGUAACAUUGUCAUUGUGGGGAAUCAGCUCUGAACUCUGCUUCUCACUGAACUCUGCCUUCUGGUUUGUCACUGACCAUUUCACUCAUGUCUACUAAUUCCAUCGUAUCUGAGGGAAGAAGAGGCCAAAUCAGUACAAGCGUUUUCUUGAUUUAUGUUAAAUAUCUUAAUUUUCCAGUCCAUAGGCUGUACAUCAAUCCAUUUAUUGAUGUUAUUGACACUGAGACACAUUCUUGGUCCUCACGUUAAUAGUCUUUAUACAAUGAAGUAACCUAGAAAUGUAUGUUGAUUUACCUUUCCAGUUUAUUAGUUUAUAAUUGCUAUAUAUUAAAAUGAAGAUAUCACCUUUGGGUUUGCUAUUUA